UCUCUCGUCGGUUCGUUCAACCUUCAAUCCUUAUGGAACCUUAUUAACACUUCAUUAACUAUACAAGAGGCCUCAUAGCCCCUCCUCAAGAUAUUACUAAAUAAAUAUUAGCUCAAUUAUAGCGAAAACCUCUCCAAAAAUGACUUACAUUCCACUUCCUUCAACGAACUUAGUUUCACAUACUCACAUGACUUCAGAAUAUUAUGGUACUCACUUUAAGCUAUCUAAUACUCUCCUUAAUCCCGUAAGGACUUCAUAUUUACCUUAAGCUCGCAUUAGUAUGCUCACAAUGCAACGAUCGAAAAUCUUCGAGAUGUAACACGAUGAGACCCCUCUGCUUCCAAUCAUCUUCCUCGCCUAAGAUAAUUGAAGUUCGACCUGAGAGCCUACUGUAUAAUCAGAGAGAACCAUUGUCAUACCUUGAAUGCAUACUCAAUUUCUUCUUAAUAAUACCCCCCAAAAUUACCCAAAUUUCAUCUAUCAAAACCCAACUCGAAUUUAACCAAUUUUCUACAAGCCACGUACCAUAUCUCUUUUCACCAUUGGUUUUAUCUCGCUCUUAACAUUUUUGUCAUUGCCUUCUAGGAGCGAAUUCACAUAUUUUCGUAUGUGUGGAGCUGCUUCAAUUUCCAUCAGAUCUUUUCAUAUGUAUUAUGUGCUAAAUCGGAGGGGACAGAUAGUAAGGAAAGAAAACUCAAAGAUGAAAUUCAUAUGAGUUUGCCCUUCUUUCCGUGACGACCCAUAUGAGUCUUGGGGUAAAUCUUCCUAAAUAACACUUGAAAUAUUCAAAUUAUACAAUCUGGAUUGAUGUGAAUUGAGUAUUUUCGAGCUCCCUGUGGAAAAGGUGAAGAAUGGUGAGCUGGUUAAUGUCAAAAUGGGGAAAUAAAGGGUGUUGGUUCAUCUUCAAAUGUGAAAAAGAUGAAACAUGGUGAACUAGAUUAAUGUUAAGAUGAAGAUGAAGUGGUUAAAGCUUCAGCUUCCUUGGUUAUGUUCUUUCAGUAUUUGACACCGUUUAUGAAGAUGGCUUGAUAAUGAUAUUAUGUUUCUUAAUGUUUGGCAACUGUGGAGUAGAAUUGUGCUGAAUAUAUUUUUAGAUGACUACUAGAGUGUAAAAGAGAUUGCUCUGGCAGUGACAAUGGAAAAAAGAAAAUAGAAAUCCUAAGUUUCGACAAACAAAA